rnacentral:rRNA from 1 species
AGCGAACGCUGGCGGUAGGCCUAACACAUGCAAGUCGAACGGCAGCACAGUAAGAGCUUGCUCUUACGGGUGGCGAGUGGCGGACGGGUGAGGAAUACAUCGGAAUCUACUUUUUCGUGGGGGAUAACGUAGGGAAACUUACGCUAAUACCGCAUACGACCUACGGGUGAAAGCAGGGGAUCUUCGGGCCUUGCGCGAUUGAAUGAGCCGAUGUCGGAUUAGCUAGUUGGCGGGGUAAAGGCCCACCAAGGCGACGAUCCGUAGCUGGUCUGAGAGGAUGAUCAGCCACACUGGAACUGAGACACGGUCCAGACUCCUACGGGAGGCAGCAGUGGGGAAUAUCGGACAAUGGGCGCAAGCCUGAUCCAGCCAUACCGCGUGGGUGAAGAAGGCCUUCGGGUUGUAAAGCCCUUUUGUUGGGAAAGAAAAGCAGCAGGUUAAUACCCCGCUGUUCUGACGGUACCCAAAGAAUAAGCACCGGCUAACUUCGUG